UACGUAGGGGGCUAGCGUUGUCCGGAAUCAUUGGGCGUAAAGCGCGUGUAGGCGGUCCGGUAAGUCCGCUGUGAAAGUCGGGGGCUCAACCCUCGGAUGCCGGUGGAUACUGUCGGGCUUGAGUACGGAAGAGGCGAGUGGAAUUCCUGGUGUAGCGGUGAAAUGCGUAGAUAUCUGGAGGAACACCGGUGGCGAAGGCGGCAUCCUGGACCGGCAUUGACGCUGAGGAGCGAAAGCCAGGGGAGCAAACGGG
rnacentral:rRNA from 1 species